rnacentral:lncRNA from 1 species
CUCAUUAUUAAGCUCCUCGCUCUUUGCAGACGCUCCCUGCGCCUCCCCCGCUCCGGGCUGCAGCGGCGCAGGCGCCGGGCCGAGCCGAGCGCCGAGCGGGGAGCGGGCGGCCGCGCUCCGGGCCGGGGUCCCGGGGGAGCAGGUGAGCGACCCGCGCCGCGCGGCCCCCAGGCCCUUGCGGAGACGCCGCCCGGCCGCGCUGCGCCGGCGCCCCCGCCUUCCCUGCCUGGCAUCCUCCUCCCCCCUGCCUGGCAUCCUCCUCCCCCCUGCCUGGCAUCCCUCCUCCCCCCUGCCUGGUAUCUCCUCUGCUCCCGCCUGCCUGGCAUCCCUCCUCCUCCCUGCCUGGCAUCCUCCUCCCCCCUGUCUGGCGUCUCCCCCUGUCUGACAGCCCCCUCCACCCCCCCCCCCCGGCCUCUCCCCAUUCUCCUCCCUGCCUGGCAUCUCUCUGGUCUCCCCCCCUGCCUGGCAUCUUCCUUCUUAUCCCUGCCUGGCACCUUCCCCUUACCUGGCGCCUUCCCCUUACCUGGCACUCCCCCUCCCUGCCUGGCAUCGUCAUCCCCUCCUCCUUUCCUGAUCUCUCCCCCCACUCCUGACUCUCUUCCUCCCCCUGCCUGGCACCUCCCCCACCCCGAGCCGGGUAUCUGUCUCUUCCUCCUCCCCCCUUCCUUGCACCUCUCCCAUGGCUCCCAUCUUACCUCCUCUCUAAUACUCCCCCCCCCCCCCCGCCUGGCAUCUUUCCCUCCUUCUGUACCUGGUUCCUUCCCCUCUUCCCUCCACCUGCAUGCCCCCUCCUUCUCUUUGCCUGGCACUCUCCUGCCUGGUACCUUCCCUCCUUCCCCUCUGCCUGGCACCUCCCCUCCUUCCCCUGCCUGGCAUCCCUCCUCCUCCCUGCCGAGCAUGUUGCCAUCCUGCUCCUGCCUGGCACCCUCUCCCUCCUACCCACUCCCCUGCCUGGCACCUUCCCUCCUUCCCCUCUGCCUGGCACCUCCCCACCUUCCCCUCUGCCUGGCACCUCCCCACCUCUCCCCUGCCUGGCACCUCCCCUCCUUCCCCUGCCUGGCACCUUCCCUCCUUCCCCUCUGCCUGGCACCUCCCCUCCUUCCCCUGCCUGGCACCUCCCCUGUCUCCACUUGGCAUCCCGCCCGGACACCCCUCUCCCACCCAGCCUGUCCCUCUGUCUUCGGCCUUCCUGUAAGGCACCUCCCCCCAGCCCUGAGCCGGUAA